rnacentral:tRNA from 1 species
CUUCAUAUAACUAAGCUAAGUGCAGGGUUCUUACCCCUGUAAUGUGUUUUACACUGUGGAGU